rnacentral:lncRNA from 1 species
ACUAUGUAUAUAAGUUCUCUACCUGGCUGGCACCACGUUGCCUACUCCCUGACUGCACACGUGGUGACGAAGAAAAGCAAAGAAAACGGAAGAUGGCGCCUCCAUGUUGAACAUGCCUGGCUCCCAGGAGAGGAUGGUGUGGAGAACUGAAAUUCCGCUAAGAACACCUUAGGAUUCCCUAUAGGGUAAAGUGAAGAUCUUCAACUGGGCGUUGUGGAUUUAGAUGUGUAUGAGAAAUCCAGAUUAUCCUACAGGGUAUUACAAAGCUCAGAAUGGUAAACUUUAAGUCACUGUAGCUAGUUCUGAUUUUUACAAUUGAAAUUACACUUGAUGCCACUAUUUUCCAUAAGUGAUGCUUCUGACAUUUUAUGCAAACUUCAGUUUAUAUAUAAAAUUGGAUGCUCUGAAUGCUUUGAUUAGCAUGGUCUUACCUGAGCUAGUUAAAACAUGAUUUUAAUAAGACCAAAGAUCAAGAUUUCCUUCAGAAGCCAACUCCAAGUGAAGUUGUCCUCCUCAUGCGAACUACAGCUUAAAUUCCGGACAUAACAGCUUAGCUUCCAGAGAGAAGAAACAGUGACCUAGGACGGCAAUGAAACACAUUGAUCCUACCUUUGGAAUAUGGAUAGAAGAAGAAAAGUGGAUCAAAAGUGGAUUUUAGUUGUAAAUUCAGCCAUGACAGAAAUACCAUGAAUCCACUGAAUGCAUCCUUCAUCUAUAUCAAUAACACAUACAGUGUGAGCUGUCAAAUUAUGGCCAGAAGUGUGUAUAUGAAUACAAAAGUUAAUUUUUAAGUGACUAGCCUUAAGAGUUUUAGUCCGAGAAUGUGCAUAAUUAAAAACAAUGAGUAUUUUUAUCAGAAUAAUCUGAAAAAAAUUCUUAGAAUCAUUAUGAUAAAACCAGUCUCAUUUGUUUAAUGUCCUACAGCAUCACAAAUUGUCAUAUAACAUCAUAAUAAGGUUAACAAAAAAUAAAAUAUCAUUAAAGAAACAA